rnacentral:rRNA from 1 species
AGGCGACGAUGCCUAGGGGUUCUGAGAGGAAGGUCCCCCACACUGGUACUGAGACACGGACCAGACUCCUACGGGAGGCAGCAGUGAGGAAUAUUGGUCAAUGGGCGAGAGCCUGAACCAGCCAAGUCGCGUGAGGGACGACGGCCCUACGGGUUGUAAACCUCUUUUGCCGGGGGACAAACGGCGGCACGCGUGCCGUCCUGAGGGUACCCGGAGAAAAAGCAUCGGCUAACUCCGUGCCAGCAGCCGCGGUAAUACGGAGGAUGCGAGCGUUAUCCGGAUUUAUUGGGUUUAAAGGGUGCGUAGGCGGGAUGCCAAGUCAGCGGUCAAAUACGGGGGCUCAACCUGCGUCCGCCGUUGAAACUGGCGUUCUUGAGUGGGCGAGAAGUACGCGGAAUGCGUGGUGUAGCGGUGAAAUGCAUAGAUAUCACGCAGAACCCCGAUUGCGAAGGCAGCGUACCGGCGCCCGACUGACGCUGAAGCACGAAAGCGUGGGUAUCGAACAGGAUUAGAUACCCUGGUAGUCCACGCAGUAAACGAUGAACACUAAUUGUCCGGCGGG